rnacentral:rRNA from 1 species
UACUCCUACGGGAGGCAGCAGUAGGGAAUCUUCCGCAAUGGACGAAAGUCUGACGGAGCAACGCCGCGUGAGUGAUGAAGGCUUUCGGGUCGUAAAACUCUGUUGUUAGGGAAGAACAAGUGCUAGUUGAAUAAGCUGGCACCUUGACGGUACCUAACCAGAAAGCCACGGCUAACUACGUGCCAGCAGCCGCGGUAAUACGUAGGUGGCAAGCGUUAUCCGGAAUUAUUGGGCGUAAAGCGCGCGCAGGUGGUUUCUUAAGUCUGAUGUGAAAGCCCACGGCUCAACCGUGGAGGGUCAUUGGAAACUGGGAGACUUGAGUGCAGAAGAGGAAAGUGGAAUUCCAUGUGUAGCGGUGAAAUGCGUAGAGAUAUGGAGGAACACCAGUGGCGAAGGCGACUUUCUGGUCUGUAACUGACACUGAGGCGCGAAAGCGUGGGGAGCAAACAGGAUUAGAUACCGGGCGAAGUCC